GUAGAUGCGUUAGGUGAGGUGGUUU
rnacentral:piRNA from 1 species